rnacentral:rRNA from 1 species
AUUGAACGCUGGCGGCAGGCCUAACACAUGCAAGUCGAGCGAGCGGCGGACGGGUGAGUAAUAUAUGGGGAACUGCCCGAUAGAGGGGGAUAACUACUGGAAACGGUGGCUAAUACCGCAUACUAUCGGAUGUACCCAUAUGGGAUUAGCUAGUAGGUGGGGUAAAGGCUCACCUAGGCGACGAUCCCUAGCUGGUCUGAGAGGAUGAUCAGCCACACUGGAACUGAGACACGGCCCAGACUCCUACGGGAGGCAGCAGUGGGGAAUAUUGCAAAAUGGGCGGAAGCCUGAUGCAGCCAUGCCGCGUGUAUGAAGAAGGCCUUAGGGUUGUAAAGUACUUUCAGCGGGGAGGCGUUACCCGCAGAAGAAGCACCGGCUAACUCCGUGCCAGCCGCCGCGGUAAUUC